UUUAACUAUUGCGAAGUAGAGUAACAGUAAUUUAGCUAACACCAAAAGGGAAACAGUAAAUCAGGAGGUACCAACUCCCGAUAACAAAACCUGUGGCUGAUUUGCUGGACUCGAUGUAGUUGUACGCUCACGCAACACUUCCUACCGCCCUUUGCUGACACUCGCCCAGGUUGCUCUCCUUUGCCAGUGCUCGUGCGCCCAACUUGUUUCCAAUACUUCGAGAAUUCCUGAAAACACAGAAAAUACCACGACCCAAAAACCAAAAGGAGCUAUCACCGCUACCACUGGUAUAACCCCAACAAUAUAAAAUGUACAAAGAAAGGAGAAGAAGAAAACGAGAAUAUAAGGGGGUGGUGGCAGAUUUGGGACGCAAAAGGGGUGGGGCAAGAAGACCCAAAAAUCAAAUAAGGGCCAGAAACUUCUGAGAUAAAGCUCAACUGCGACAUACCCGAAUUCAGCAACAACUAUAAAAUCCCUAAAAUAUGUAUGCGCUGGUUUGGUCUUUUGGAAGGGAUAUCUCAAAGAAUUUCUACUGUUAGAAAUAAAAGAUGCAGAAAACCUAUCCAAUUUUGUGAAAAGCUCAGAAUCUUGAGUAGCAAAUAGUCAAACUAAGGACUCAAAUAGAAAACAGUAGCUAAAGCAGUUUAUACUCUAUAGCAAAUCGGAAAGAGAGAUAAACAACGACAGAAGAAAGAGAAAAGUUUAAGUCUACUUACUGACCGGAAAACGGAAGAGACGACGAUCGCCGGAGAACUCCACCAGAGAUGGCGAGUUCUUAAUUUAGUUACUAACCCGGAAAGUUGCAGUAGACUACAAAGUUAAUGGCAAUUGUUA
rnacentral:lncRNA from 1 species